rnacentral:rRNA from 1 species
UACAGAGGUCUCAAGCGUUGUUCGGAAUCACUGGGCGUAAAGGGUGCGUAGGCGGCGCGGAAAGUCAGAUGUGAAAUCCGGAGGCUCAACCUCCGAAUUGCAUCCGAUACUCCCGCGCUAGAGAUUUGUAGGGGAGCUUGGAAUUCUCGGUGUAGCAGUGAAAUGCGUAGAUAUCGAGAAGAACGCUCGCAGCGAAGUCGAAGCUCUGGGCAACAUCUGACGCUGAUGCACGAAGGCUAGGGGUGCAAACGGG